CCCUUAGAUGUUCUGGGCUGCGCGCGUGCUACACUGAUUAUUUCAACAAGUGUUUUAACUGGAGAGUUCGCGUAAUCCUGAAAUGUUAUCGUGAUGGGAGUAGAGUAUUGUAUUUGUUAAUCUUUAACGAGGAAUUCCUAGUAAGUGUAGGUUUAUAAGUUGUUCUGAUUACGUCCCUGCCCUUUGUACACACCGCCCGUCGCUCCUACCGAUUGAUUGAUCCGGUGAAUUACAUAGAAUUUUGCGUUUUACAUGACGGAAGACGAAGUGUUUUAAACCUUAUCAUUUAGAGGAAGGAGAAGUCGUAACA
rnacentral:rRNA from 1 species